UACGUAGGGACCGAGCGUUGUCCGGAAUCAUUGGGCGUAAAGAGCGUGUAGGCGGUCAGGUAGGUCCGUUGUGAAAACUCGAGGCUCAACCUCGAGACGCCGAUGGAAACCAUCUGACUAGAGUCCGGAAGAGGAGAGUGGAAUUCCUGGUGUAGCGGUGAAAUGCGCAGAUAUCAGGAAGAACACCCGUGGCUAAGGCGGCUCUCUAGUACGGUACUGACGCUGAGACGCGAAAGCGUGGGGAGCGAACAGG
rnacentral:rRNA from 1 species